GGAUAUUUAGUUAAAUAUAUUAUUAAUCAAAAUAAAAUCACUAUCAGACAUAUGCAUCCUGUGGGGCACUGAUAAGGGAAACUCCACAACAUACAAAGGUGGUGUAGGAUUACAGCUGGGGCAUGUCUGCCUCUUGGACGUCAGUCCAUAUUUGGUCAAGAGAUUGACUGAAACCAAUAGGAAGGUGGCUCUCAUGUUGACCAGUCACAUGACUAAUUAAGAAAUUGUUUGAAACAAAGUGUGCUAACUUCAAACAAAAGUGUGCUAACUUCAUUUUCAAUUUGGCAUGGCUGUAAGCAGCAAAGUUUUCAGCAGAAACUAUUUUUGAUUUCCCACCCACCUCACCUCUUGUUUAUUGCAUAUUAUUUUGUUUUUCAUGUUUAUAGUUAUGUCUAUGUAGAUAUUGUGUAGUUUUUGAUUGUAAUGAGUACCACA
rnacentral:lncRNA from 1 species